rnacentral:rRNA from 1 species
UACGGGGGGAGCAAGCGUUGUUCGGAUUUACUGGGCGUAAAGGGCGCGUAGGCGGCCUCUGCAAGUCGACUGUGAAAUCUCCGGGCUUAACCCGGAAAGGUCAGCCGAUACUGCAGGGCUAGAGUGCAGAAGGGGCAACUGGAAUUCUCGGUGUAGCGGUGAAAUGCGUAGAUAUCAGGAGGAACACCGGUGGCGAAGGCGGAUCUCUGGGCCGUAACUGACGCUGAGGAGCGAAAGCAUGGGGAGCGAACAGG